rfam:Human coronavirus OC43 strain 19572 Belgium 2004, complete genome.
CUUUACUGAAGACACCUCAGAAAUAUAAGAGAAUGAACCUUAUGUCGGCAUCUGGUGGUAACCCCUCGCAGAAAAGUCGAGAUAAGGCACUCUCUAUCAGAAUGGAUGUCUUGCUGCUAUAAUAGAUAGAGAAGGUUAUAGCAGACUAUAUAUUAAUUAGUUGAAAGUUUUGUGUUGUAAUGUAUAGUGUUGGAGAAAGUGAAAGACUUGCGGAAGUAAUUGCCGACAAGUGCCAAAGGGAAGAGCCAGCAUGUUAAGUUACUACCCAGUAAUUAGUAAAUGAAUGAAGUUAAUUAUGGCCAAUUGGAAGAAUCAC